rnacentral:lncRNA from 10 species
UAUAUAUAUAUAUAUAUAUAUAUAUAUAUAUACACACACACACACACAUAUAUGAGAUAAAAAAAUUAUUUGUAGUCACAGUUUGAAAGAGUUCUGUGGUACAUCCAUUAGAUCAGUGCUAUAAGUCUUGACAGUACCUCUACUCCCCUCUCAUGUAAGAUGGGGACUAAACCUGAGAAAAGCAAAGGCAAGUCCAGAGAGAAGAAAAACUAAAAAGCCACACCAAAGAAAGAAUAACUAAGGGCUCCCUGACCCAAGGAAGAGACGCUCAGUAGAUAUCUGAGGUCAGUGUUUAAAUGGACAAAAGACUAUCAGGUAUAAUUAGUCACCUGGGUGUCUGGCUGUAAGCUCCCACUAGAUUGCAAGCUCCUUCAGGAUAGGAAGGGACUGAAUAAUCUUUGUGUUCCUACCCUGUAACAUGGUACUUGACAAUUGUAGGUAGGCCCAGGAAAUGCCUGCUGAAUAUGUGUGCGAAUACCAACUGCCUGGCCACAAAGGCCAGCAAAUCUUGGCUGAGUAGAAGUCCUGCUUUAAUUCCACAAGCCUUAAAACCCCAAAGUGGGCUGGGCAUGGUGGCUCAUACCUGUAACCCCAGCACUUCGGGAGGCUGAGGCAAGAGGAUCAUUUGAGUUCAGGAGUUCGAGACCAGCCUGGGCAACAUGGUGAAACCCCGACUUACAAAAAUACAAAAAUCCCUGUCUCAAAAACAACAAAACAACAACAACAGCAACAACAACAACAAAAAACCCAAACAAACAAACAAAAAACCCCAAAGUGCUUAAUAUCUUUAUCAGCAUCACUUACCAGCAGAGGCAGCUUUCACCAUCAACUGGGCAAAUUCAAUGGCAUCUCCAUUUCUGAAGACUAAUUUAAAAGUAGCUUGUCCUUCCCAGCCACCUGGGGGAAGAAAUGGCACACACUCACCAAGAAACUGGCAUAGCUGACAACAGAAAGACUGCCACAAACACCAAGGGAAGCACUACCUGACAAAGUAGGGCAGCUUUUGUUUGAAUUUCAACAUGAGCCAAGUUUGAAUCUUAAACCUUUUAGAAGAUUUUGAGGGAAAAAAAAAUACACACUUCUGAGGGAACACUUACCAUAUGGAGCUGCCUGAAUAGUUCCCUUAAUGAAGUUUGCAGCAAAUACUGGUUGUUCAACAGUGAGGUUCGUCAUCAGAUCAAAUGGCAUCAUAAAAGACAACAUGGGAUCACUGAUGGAGCAUGAAGUUAUGAAAAUCACCUACGCAAGGACAGAAACUUUGGAAAAGGAAUGCAGAAUUUGUCCAUGGAUUGAGACUUACAAGAGCAAGGUGCAUUCUGGUCUAACUGAGAAACAUCAUCUUUUCUUCCACCACCCUUCAGUGUGGAAAAUCCCAAAGCGCACGUUUAAAAACACUUCAAAAGUCAAUGUUUAAGUUUUCUUCAUUUCAAGGAAAACAAAUGUAGAGUUAAUCAGCAGAUUAAAGUAGAAGUAGAAAUUACCCGGUAUGAAGUGAGAAACAAUGUUCCUGUCUUUCUACCACUAAAGACAUUUGAGCCUUCUGAUCGCUGUGGGAAGGAGAGCUCCACAUUCGGAGACCGCUUCAAGAGACUGUAGAAAAUGAGGAACAGACGGCACACAAUAAAGAAUGUAUGUAAAAUGACACACAUAAAGUUCUUAACGCAAUUUUUUUUUUUUUUUGAGACAGAGUCUUACUCUGUUGCCCAGGCGGGAGUGCAGUGGCACGAUUUCACCUCACUGCAAGCUCCGCCUCCCGGGUUCACACCAUUCUCCUGCCUCAGCCUCCCAAAUAGCUGGGACUACAGGCGCCCGCCACCAUGCCUGCCUAAUUUUUUUGUAUUUUUGUAGAGAUGGGGGUUUCACUGUUAGCCAGGAUGGUCUCGAUCUCCUGACCUUGUGAUCCGCCCGCCUCAGCCUCCCAAAGUGCUGGGAUUACAGGCAUGCCACCGUGCCCGGCCCUUAAUGUAGUUUUUUUUUUUUUUUUUCCAGAGUAAGCACUCAAUAAACAUUAGCUGCUGCUACUGCUACUAUUACUACUACUACUAUUUUAUUGAAAUAAAAAGGAAUUCAAAUGAUCUUAUUCUCUGACAAUUUACUCUUAUUCUUCUCCCUCUUCAUCAUUGGAUUCUUUUUCUUGUCAAACCUACUCCUAUUCUCAAUGUGUGUUCAUUAAUUCUUAUACUUCUUGUGCGGUAAGUGUAAAGCACUGUGCUAAUAGAAAUGGUUCUUUGACGCUGGUAAAGAAAGUAAGGCAGCAGACUGCCCCAGCCCCCUCUGACAUGUUCCCUCAGCCUGUCGUGCUCUCUCCUUACUGUUAACCUGGAAAACUUGGACUCACCUUACUGUCACUCAUCAAAUCCUGCUGGGUUCUUUUUUUUCUUACUUUAUCUUUCUUUCUUUUCUUUCUUUCUCUUUUUCUUAUUUCUUCUUUCUCUUUCUCCCUCCCUCCUUCCCUCACUUCUUUCUUUCCUUUCCUUUUGACUUUCCUUCCCUUCUUCCCUUCCCUUCUUUCCUUCCAUUUCCUUCUUCCCUUCCCUUCCUUUCUUUUCUCUCUCUCUCUUUCUUCUGUCUUUUUUUUUUUUUUUUUUGAGACAGGGUCUCACUCUGUUGCCCAGGCUGGAGUGCAGUGGCAUAAUCUCUGCUCACCAACCUCCACCUCCUGGGCUCAGGUGAUCCUCCCAUUCAGCCUCCUGAGUAGCUGGGACCGUAGGCAAGCACCACCACGCCUGGCUAAUUUUUUUUUUUUUUUUUUGAGAGAAGUCUUGCUCUUGUCCCCCAGGUUUGAGUGCAAUGGCUCGAUCUCGGCUCACUGCAACCUCCGCCUCCCGGGUUCAAACGAUUCUCCUGCCUCUGCCUCCCAAAUAGCUGGGAUUAAGUCGCCUGCCACCAUGCCAGGCUAAUUUUUGUAUUUUUUGGUAGAGACGGGGUUUCACCAUGUUGGCCAGGCUGGUCUGGAACUCCUGACCUCAGGUGAUCCGCCCGCCUCGACCUCCCAAAGUGCUGGGAUUACAGGCGUGAGCCACUGCACCCGGCCAAUUUUUUUGUAUUUUUAGUAGAGAUGAGGUUUCACCAUGUUGCCCAGGAUGGUCUCAAACUCCUGGGCUCAAGAGAUCUGCCUGCUUUAGCCUCCCAAUGUGCUAGGACUACAGGAAUGCGCCACCAUACCCAGUCCCCCAGCCUUUUCUUUCUUAAUGAUAUAUGUAACCAAUGUAUAAUGAUCAUUAGGUACAAUGUCUGCCUUCUUUGCUACUCUAGCCCUAGCAAACAGUGGGUGCUCUAAAUAGUUAUUAAAAGAAUGAAUGAAAGCAUGAAUACAGAUCAUAAUGCAAACAAUAUAUGACAUACAUAAUAUAAAUGUAUGUCAUACAUUUAUUAGUAACAAACUGUCAUAGCAAUUUAGUGAAAGAAGAGAUUCGUUUUAGUUGAAGUAAUUAGGAAUGACCUAAUAGAAAGACUGCAAUUUGAGCUGAUUAAGAGAUGGGUAGUAUUCUGGCUGGGCACAGUGGCUCACGCCUGUAAUCCCAGCACUUUGGGAGGCCGAGGCUGGCGGAUCAUUUGGGGAGUUAGAGACCAGCUUGACCAACAUGGUGAAACCCCAUCUCUACUAAAAUACAAAAAGUAUCCAGGCAUGGUGGUACAUGCCUGUAAUCUCAGCUACUCGGAAGGCUGAGGUGGGAAGAUUGCUUGAGCCAUGGGGCACAGAUUGCAGUGAUCCACUGCACUCCACCCUGGGCAACAGAGUAUGACCCUGUUUCAAAAAAAAGAGAGAGAGAGAGAUGGGUAGCAUUCAGUAGGUAGAGGUGAAGGUAGAGGACAAUCCAGAUGGGAAGCAAACAGCAUUCAUGGAGGUGCAGGAGCAGAUAUGGAAAGCAAACUGCAUACUUGGGAGAAGCCUAGUGGUAUGGCUUCAUCAAAACACAGUGUGGAAGUGAGGUUAGGAGAAACAGUGAAACAAAGUUGGAAAGCUAUGCUGGAACUACAGCUUAAAGACAUCAUUUGAUAGGCAAGGAGAAACUGUGAGCUUCAGAUUUCUCAACAGGAAAGUCACAUAAUCAAGAAGGUAGUGUAUCAGAGGGAUCAGUUUAAGAAUUCCUAAAAUAGUCCUGAUGCAAGGUAAAAACUGGAACUAGGGUGGUAAUGUGCAGAUUAAAAGGGGAGGAUUUUUAAAAGACUAUGAAAAUACAGGACAUUAGCAAAAAACUGUGGAAUGGGAAUCUUUAAAUGUCAGUCUAGCCAUAAAAGCAAUAAAUAAAGCAAAAGAAAACCUGUCAGAAUCAACUUUUUCAGAACUCUAGAAUCUAAUCAAAAGCUUAUGGUAACUAGGGGAAUGCUUAAGUAAUUUUUUUAAAAAGCCAAAUCUCAGUAAGUAAGCUUUAUGACAUUUUAACCUACCCUGGUAUCAUCCCCCACUACUAGCUUGGCAGCAGCUUUGAAGACAACAAUCUAUAUUCCCAUGAUAGAUACGAAGUACUGGAGGGAGCAGAACACACUUAUUUUUAAAAAUUGUAGUUUGACUUGUCUGGUGGCUCCUUGAAGGACCGGCUCAAAGGGCAUGUAUUUAAUUUGUAAUUUUCCCGGGACUGAUGAGGCUACCGGGAGGCAUUUGUCAAAAACAUUUCCGGCCGGGUCCGGUGGUUCAUACCUGUAAUCUCAGCACUUUGGGAGGCUGAGGCGGGAGGAUUACCAGAGGUCGGGAGUUCAAGACCAGCAUGACCAACAUGGAGAAACCCCGUCUCUACUAAAAAUGCAAAAUUAGCUGGGCCUGGUGGCAUGUGUCUGUAAUCCCAGCUACUCGGGAGGCUGAGGCAGGAGAAUUGCUUGAACCCGGGAGGCAGAGUUUGCAGUGAGCCAAGAUCUUCCCAUUGCACUCCAGCCUGGGGAACAAGAGCGAAAUUUCAUCUCAAGAAAAAAAAAAUUUCCAAGCCAAUGUAUUAGUUGCUGCUACCUAGCGAAAGGGAUGACAACUGGGGCAAAAAAACAGACAAAUUGAAAAGCUAAAGGAAAGGAUGAGCAAUGAGAUGCUUUGAGGAAUAAAGGCUUCGAAAAGCUCACACAUAUUCCUGAGAAACAAGAAAGCCAUACACAUACAUGUCCAGGGCUAGAUUCAUACUAAAAACAAACAAAAAAUGAAACACACACACACACUGAAGAGGCACUAAGCUUUCACCUCUGAUUGACAAUUAGAAGUGAUGCAAAAAGGCCUCGGUGCGGUGGCUCACGCCUGUAAUCUAGCACUUCGGAAGGCUGAGGCAGGCAGAUCACCUGAGGUCAGGAGUUCAAGACCAGCCUGGCCAACAUGGCAAAAUCCCAUCUUUAUUAAAAAUACAAAAAUUAGCUGGGCGUAGUGGUGGGCGCCUAUAAUCCCAGCUACUCAGGAGGCUGAGGCAGGAGAAUUGCUUGAACCCGGGAGGCAGAGGUUGCAGUGAGCCAAGAUCAUGCCAUUGCACUCCAGCCUGGGCAACAGAGCAAGACUCUGUCUCAAAAAAAAAAGGAAAUGAUGCAAAAAGAAGUGAAGGUGAAGGCAGAGUUGUAAACUGCCUGGCUGAGUAAGAAAGGCACGCUCAUGCUCCAACACACACAAAGCCCAUCUGCAAGGGCUGGGAGAUUUUGUUGUUGUUGUUCCAGACAUAGAAGAAAAUUUCUGUCAAAUCACUAGCUGGCCACUGAGGUAACAGAACUGAGAUUCCAGUGGCCACAAAUAACAAAGAAUACAGACUUUACAAAAUUAGUACAGAAAAGUCACUGUACAAACAAAUAACAAGCAACAAAAAUAUACCCUGAAGAAGAGGGAGAUUCUACUUUCCAGAGUUACUACAUUAAAAUAUUCAAAAUGUCCAGUUUUCAACAACAACAAAAAUCACUAGGCAUGCAAAGGAACAAGAAAGUAUGGGAAUACACAGGAACAAAAUAAAUUAAUAAAAACUGUCCCUGAGGAAGCCCAUACAUUGGAUUUAUCAGACAACACUUUAAAUAAACUAUUGUAAAUAUACUCAAAGAGUUAAAGGAAAUGAUGUCCAAAUAACUAAAAGAAAGAAUACAAACAAAGUCUCAGGAAGUAGAGAAUAUCAAUAAAGAGGCAGAAAUUAUUAAAAGGAACCAAACAGAAAUUCUAGAGUUGAAGACUACAACUGAAAUGAACAAUUUAAUCACUGGGGCUCAACAGCCAAUUUUGGCAGGCAGAAGAGAGAAUUAUUGAACUUGAAGUAGGUCAAUGGGAAUAACGGUUACUACCUGAGUAACACAAAUGGGAAAAAACGAAGAAAAAAUGAACGAAGUCUAAGAAAUCUGUGGGACACCAUCAAACAUACCAAUAUAUCUAGAAUGGGAAUUCAAGAAGGAGAGGAGAGAGAGAAAGGGGAAUAAAGAACAUUUGGGGCCAGGCGCGGUGGCUCAUGCCUGUAAUCCUAGCACUUUGGGAGGCCACAGUGGGCAGAAUGCGUGAGCACAGGUGUUCAACACCAGCAAGGGCAACAUGGUGAAACCCUAUCUCUACAAAGAAUACAAAAAAUUAGCCAAGCAUGGUGGAGUGCACCUACAGUCCCACCUAUCCAAGACACUGAGGUGGGAGGAUUGCUUCAGCCUGGGAGGUCAAGGCUGUAGUGAGCCACGACUGUACCACUGCACUCCAGCCUGGGUGACAGAGGGAGACCCUGUCUCAAAAUAAGAAAAAAGAAUAUCUGAGCCGGAAACAGUGGCUCAUGCCUGUAAUCCCAGCAGUUUGGGAGGCUGAGGCGGGAGGACUGCUUGAGCUCAGGAGUUUGAAACCAGCUUGGGCAACAUAGUGAAACCUCACCUCUACUAAAAAUUUAAAAAUUUGCCGGUGGGGUGCGGUGGCUCAUGCCUGUAAUCCCAGUACUUUGAAAGGCAGAGGCAGAUGGAUCACCUGAAGUCAGGAAUUCGAGCCCAGCCUGACCAACAUGGUGAGACCCCAUCUCUACUAAAAAUACAAAAAAUAGCCAGGCGUGGGUGGUGCAUGCCUAUAAUCCCAGCUACUCCGGAGGCUGAGGCCGGAGAAUUGCGUGAACCCAGGAGGCAGAGGUUACAGUGAACUGAGAUCGCACCAAUGCACUCCAGUCUGGGCAACAGAGUGAGACUCUCUCUCAAAAAAAAAAAAAAUUAAAAAUUUAGUCAGGUGUGGUGGCAUGCAUCAGUAGCCCCAGCUACUCAGGAGGCUGAGGCAAGAGAAUCACUUGAGCCUGGGAUGUCGAGGCUGCAGUGAGCUGUGAUCGUGCCACUGCACUCCAGCCUACGUGAUAGAGACCCUAUCUCAAAAUAAAUAAAUAAUGGCCAAAACCUUCCCAAAUUUAAUGAAAUACAUGAAUCUACACAUCCAAGUGCAACAAACUCCAAGUAGAAUAAACUCAGUUCCACACUGACAUGCAUUAUAAUCAAAUUAUUGAAAGCCAAAUACAAGGAAUCUUGAAAUUAACAAGAUAAGUGACUCAUCACGCACAAGGAAUCCUCAGACUAGCAGCUGAUUUCUUUUUCUUUUUCUUUUUCUUUUUUUUUUUUUUGAGAUGGAGUUUCACUUUUGUUGCCCAGGCUAGAGUGCAAUGGCACAAUCUUGGCUCACCACAACCUCCACCUCCCAGGUUCAAGUGAUUCUCCUGCCUCAGCCUCCCGAGUAGCUUGGAUUAUAUAGCUGGGAUUACAGGCAUGCACCACCACACCCAGCUAAUUUUGUAUUUUUAGUAGAGAUGGGGUUUCUCCAUGUUGGUCAGGCUGGUCUCGAACUCCCGGCCUCAGGUGAUCUGCUCACCUCGGGCUCCCAAAGUGCUGGGAUUACAGGCAUAAGCCACCACGCCCGGCCAGCAGCGAUUUCUUAUUGAAAUCAUGGAGGCCAAAAGGAAAUGUGAUGACAUAUUCAAACUGCUAAAAGUAAAAAAACACUCCGUUGUUUUUUUUUUUUGAGACAGAGUCAUGCUCCAUUGCCCAAAC